GUGCUCGCUUCGGCAGCACAUGUACUAAAAUUGGAACGAUACAGAGAAAAUUAGCAUGGCCCCUGCGCAAGGAUGACAUGCAAAUUCGUGAAGUGUUCCAUAUUUUU
ensembl:snRNA U6 U6 spliceosomal RNA